rnacentral:rRNA from 1 species
AUUGAACGCUGGCGGCACGCCUUACACAUGCAAGUCGAACGGUAACGGGCCUUCGGGUGCCGACGAGUGGCGAACGGGUGAGUAAUACAUCGGAACGUGCCCGAUCGUGGGGGAUAACGAGGCGAAAGCUUUGCUAAUACCGCAUACGAUCUACGGAUGAAAGCAGGGGACCGCAAGGCCUUGCGCGGACGGAGCGGCCGAUGGCAGAUUAGGUAGUUGGUGGGAUAAAAGCUUACCAAGCCGACGAUCUGUAGCUGGUCUGAGAGGAUGAGCAGCCACACUGAGACUGAGACACGGCCCAGACUCCUACGGGAGGCAGCAGUGGGGAAUUUUGGAGAAUGGGCGCAAGCCUGAUCCAGCCAUGCCGCGUGAAGGAUAAAGGCCUUCGGGUUGUAAACUGCUUUUGUACGGAACGAAAAGCCUUCUUUUAAUACAGGAGGGUCAUGACGGUACCGUAAGAAUAAGCACCGGCUAACUACGUG